UUCUAUAUAGAGAAUAUCAACUAGGUGAGUUUGGAGAGCAAAAGCAAAAUUGUAUGGCAUAGAUUGUUGGAGUUUCGAGAGUAUUGUUAAGUGUUGAUUGUUAUUUGUUAUAGAAGUUGAUGUUGAUUGUUGUAUUAUUUGAACAGCAACACAGCCACAACCACAACCCACAGGUCACUGUUAAUUGGUAAGUUGCAAGUUAAAUGUUGUUGAAAUUU
rnacentral:lncRNA from 1 species